rfam:Ricinus communis cultivar Hale ctg_1100012361948, whole genome shotgun sequence.
AAAUCGUGGUAUGGGCAACAUCUCAGCAGGUCCUUGUACCUCUCCCACGCAUCAUACAUGCUCUCAUUAUCAAACUACUCAAAAGAAGAAUAUUAUUACGCAUCU